GAGUGGCGGACGGGUGAGUAACACGUGGGUAACCUACCCAUCAGAGGGGGAUAACACUUGGAAACAGGUGCUAAUACCGCAUAACAGUUUAUGCCGCAUGGCAUAAGAGUGAAAGGCGCUUUCGGGUGUCGCUGAUGGAUGGACCCGCGGUGCAUUAGCUAGUUGGUGAGGUAACGGCUCACCAAGGCCACGAUGCAUAGCCGACCUGAGAGGGUGAUCGGCCACACUGGGACUGAGACACGGCCCAGACUCCUACGGGAGGCAGCAGUAGGGAAUCUUCGGCAAUGGACGAAAGUCUGACCGAGCAACGCCGCGUGAGUGAAGAAGGUUUUCGGAUCGUAAAACUCUGUUGUUAGAGAAGAACAAGGACGUUAGUAACUGAACGUCCCCUGACGGUAUCUAACCAGAAAGCCACGGCUAACUACGUGCCAGCAGCCGCGGUAAUACGUAGGUGGCAAGCGUUGUCCGGAUUUAUUGGGCGUAAAGCGAGCGCAGGCGGUUUCUUAAGUCUGAUGUGAAAGCCCCCGGCUCAACCGGGGAGGGUCAUUGGAAACUGGGAGACUUGAGUGCAGAAGAGGAGAGUGGAAUUCCAUGUGUAGCGGUGAAAUGCGUAGAUAUAUGGAGGAACACCAGUGGCGAAGGCGGCUCUCUGGUCUGUAACUGACGCUGAGGCUCGAAAGCGUGGGGAGCAAACAAGAUUAGAUACCCUGGUAGUCCACGCCGUAAACGAUGAGUGCUAAGUGUGGGAGGGUUUUCCGCCCUUCAGUGUGCAAGCAAACGCAUUAAGCACUCCGCCUGGGGAGUACGACCGCAAGGUUGAAACUCAAAGGAAUUGACGGGGGCCCGCACAAGCGGUGGAGCAUGUGGUUUAAUUCGAAGCAACGCGAAGAACCUUACCAGGUCUUGACAUCCUUUGACCACUCUAGAGAUAGAGCUUUCCCUUCGGGGACAAAGUGACAGGUGGUGCAUGGUUGUCGUCAGCUCGUGUCGUGAGAUGUUGGGUUAAGUUCCGCAACGAGCGCAACCCUUAUUGUUAGUUGCCAUCAUUUAGUUGGGCACUCUAGCGAGACUGCCGGUGACAAACCGGAGGAAGGUGGGGAUGACGUCAAAUCAUCAUGCCCCUUAUGACCUGGGCUACACACGUGCUACAAUGGGAAGUACAACGAGUCGCUAGACCGCGAGGUCAUGCAAAUCUCUUAAAGCUUCUCUCAGUUCGGAUUGCAGGCUGCAACUCGCCUGCAUGAAGCCGGAAUCGCUAGUAAUCGCGGAUCAGCACGCCGCGGUGAAUACGUUCCCGGGCCUUGUACACACCGCCCGUCACACCACGAGAGUUUGUAACACCCGAAGUCGGUGAGGUAACAUUUUUGGAGCCAGCCGCCUAAGGUGGGAUAGAUG
rnacentral:rRNA from 1 species